rnacentral:misc_RNA from 1 species
GUGAAUUAAACAUGCUUGGUGUCUUCGCUUCGGCAAGGCCCUUGCUUAAAUCACAUCCUAACACCUGUGAACUGUAAGACGUAUGAUGAGGUCUUUGGCCAAGUCAUCGUCUGCCCAUUUUUAACAAACAAUUAAUGUAACAAACGUAGUCUUAUUAUAACCUAAUCA